rnacentral:lncRNA from 1 species
UCAAAGCUUCCUCUUUGAUGCCUUACAUCAGACGGAUCCACACCAUAGAAGACUGGCAAAACAUGCAGGUUGUUAUUGCUGCUGCACUCCAUGAUCAUUUGAAGCUCAUCCAAACACCAAGUGGAAGAUGCAUAGUCUGGUGAGAUAAUAGUGAUGGCAAACAUAGAAUCUUUUAUUGCAUUGAUUAGCUUUUCUGAAAUGUUUUUCCCUCUCUCAAGGUCUUUGUCAUCUCUGAAAGUUGUGAUCCCUUUUCUUUCAAGGGCAGCGCGUAAAUGAUCAGUGAAUCCUUUGCGUGUAUCUUCUCCUCGAAAACUCAAAAACACAUGGUAGCUGCAUAACCGUGUGGUCGAACUUGAACUGCAUGGAGAGGAAGAAGAUGCUUCACAUAUAGUGAAUGUUGCCAUUUGUUCAAU